rnacentral:rRNA from 1 species
UACAGAGGGUGCAAGCGUUAAUCGGAAUUACUGGGCGUAAAGCGCGCGCAGGCGGUCCUUUAAGUCUGAUGUGAAAGCCCACGGCUCAACCGUGGAGGGUCAUUGGAAACUGGGGGACUUGAGUACAGAAGAGAAGAGUGGAAUUCCACGUGUAGCGGUGAAAUGCGUAGAGAUGUGGAGGAACACCAGUGGCGAAGGCGACUCUUUGGUCUGUAACUGACGCUGAGGCGCGAAAGCGUGGGGAGCAAACAGG